CAGCUGCAAAGGAAGUCGAUGCAAACAAGAUUGAGUUAGACCUUGAUACUAUACCAGUUACGCAGACUCUUGAGAAUGAUUAUCUGAGGCAGAAAAGGCUUGUAGCAGGGGCGCAACAGAAAAGACACAAGCCCACCCGCGCCAGCUGGCGAAAAUCCUUGGAUGACGACGAUGAGAUGACAGGAAGCGAGGACGCAACGGGAGAAAUCGAAGAAGACGAGAUGCCUGCAAAA